AGAGUUUGAUCAUGGCUCAGAUUGAACGCUGGCGGCAGGCCUAACACAUGCAAGUCGAGCGGUAGCACAGAGAGCUUGCUCUCGGGUGACGAGCGGCGGACGGGUGAGUAAUGUCUGGGAAACUGCCUGAUGGAGGGGGAUAACUACUGGAAACGGUAGCUAAUACCGCAUAAUGUCGCAAGACCAAAGUGGGGGACCUUCGGGCCUCAUGCCAUCAGAUGUGCCCAGAUGGGAUUAGCUUGUAGGUGGGGUAACGGCUCACCUAGGCGACGAUCCCUAGCUGGUCUGAGAGGAUGACCAGCCACACUGGAACUGAGACACGGUCCAGACUCCUACGGGAGGCAGCAGUGGGGAAUAUUGCACAAUGGGCGCAAGCCUGAUGCAGCCAUGCCGCGUGUGUGAAGAAGGCCUUCGGGUUGUAAAGCACUUUCAGCGGGGAGGAAGGCGGUGAGGUUAAUAACCUCAUCGAUUGACGUUACCCGCAGAAGAAGCACCGGCUAACUCCGUGCCAGCAGCCGCGGUAAUACGGAGGGUGCAAGCGUUAAUCGGAAUUACUGGGCGUAAAGCGCACGCAGGCGGUCUGUCAAGUCGGAUGUGAAAUCCCCGGGCUUAACCUGGGAACUGCAUUCGAAACUGGCAGGCUAGAGUCUUGUAGAGGGGGGUAGAAUUCCAGGUGUAGCGGUGAAAUGCGUAGAGAUCUGGAGGAAUACCGGUGGCGAAGGCGGCCCCCUGGACAAAGACUGACGCUCAGGUGCGAAAGCGUGGGGAGCAAACAGGAUUAGAUACCCUGGUAGUCCACGCCGUAAACGAUGUCGAUUUGGAGGUUGUGCCCUUGAGGCGUGGCUUCCGGAGCUAACGCGUUAAAUCGACCGCCUGGGGAGUACGGCCGCAAGGUUAAAACUCAAAUGAAUUGACGGGGGCCCGCACAAGCGGUGGAGCAUGUGGUUUAAUUCGAUGCAACGCGAAGAACCUUACCUGGUCUUGACAUCCACAGAACUUAGCAGAGAUGCUUUGGUGCCUUCGGGAACUGUGAGACAGGUGCUGCAUGGCUGUCGUCAGCUCGUGUUGUGAAAUGUUGGGUUAAGUCCCGCAACGAGCGCAACCCUUAUCCUUUGUUGCCAGCGGUCCGGCCGGGAACUCAAAGGAGACUGCCAGUGAUAAACUGGAGGAAGGUGGGGAUGACGUCAAGUCAUCAUGGCCCUUACGACCAGGGCUACACACGUGCUACAAUGGCAUAUACAAAGAGAAGCGACCUCGCGAGAGCAAGCGGACCUCAUAAAGUAUGUCGUAGUCCGGAUUGGAGUCUGCAACUCGACUCCAUGAAGUCGGAAUCGCUAGUAAUCGUAGAUCAGAAUGCUACGGUGAAUACGUUCCCGGGCCUUGUACACACCGCCCGUCACACGACGGGCGGUGUGUACAAGGCCCGGGAACGUAUUCAC
rnacentral:rRNA from 1 species